rnacentral:tRNA from 1 species
GCGCCUCGCUGUUGGCCUAUCUGACUACGGAUCAGAAGGUUAGGGGUUCGAGUCCCUUCGGGCGCGCAA